rnacentral:rRNA from 1 species
GACGAACGCUGGCGGCGUGCUUAACACAUGCAAGUCGAACGGAAAGGCCCUGCCUUUGUGGGGUGCUCGAGUGGCGAACGGGUGAGUAACACGUGAGUAACCUGCCCUUGACUUUGGGAUAACUUCAGGAAACUGGGGCUAAUACCGGAUAGGAGCUCCUGCUGCAUGGUGGGGGUUGGAAAGUUUCGGCGGUUGGGGAUGGACUCGCGGCUUAUCAGCUUGUUGGUGGGGUAGUGGCUUACCAAGGCUUUGACGGGUAGCCGGCCUGAGAGGGUGACCGGCCACAUUGGGACUGAGAUACGGCCCAGACUCCUACGGGAGGCAGCAGUGGGGAAUAUUGCACAAUGGGCGGAAGCCUGAUGCAGCAACGCCGCGUGCGGGAUGACGGCCUUCGGGUUGUAAACCGCUUUCGCCUGUGACGAAGCGUGAGUGACGGUAAUGGGUAAAGAAGUACCGGCUAACUACGUG